AGCUUUUUAGCUCAGUGGUAGAGCGGUGGGCUCAUAACCCACAGGUGCAUCGAUCGAUACGAUGAAAAGCUA
rfam:Dictyostelium fasciculatum unplaced genomic scaffold Scf_ET2XIPL01COFD4-5, whole genome shotgun sequence.